rnacentral:piRNA from 1 species
CCGGAAAAGGACAAAGAGCAGCUCUGC